CAUAGGAUAGUUUAAUAAAAAUAAUAGCUUUGGGAGUUAAUGAUAAAGAAUUUCUUUUCCUUUGA
rnacentral:tRNA from 1 species